AGAUGAUGAGUCAGAGGCGCCGGCCCUCCUCGCCCCCUCCCCCCGCCGCCGGGAGCUGGAGAGGACAGGCUGGCUGGGCAGGCGGGGGUACGGACCUAAGACUUUCCCGCCUCUAGCGAGCACGCUGAUGGACCGAGCCCGCGUGGCCGCCACCCUUUCCAAGGCGGGAGCAGGACUGCGCAGGCUCAGCCUUUCGGCCGCCCCCGGCGGGCCUUUGAUCCCCGCAGCGGCCACAACUCUGCAGGGAACCGGCUCCGGCUCACCCCUCCCAGCACACAGCACCACAGAAGCUUGCUGCAGCCAAAGAGAUUGAGAACUUCACCUUUCAACUCUGUGAAGCUGUGCCAGUAACCCACUCCAUAAGAAUCUUCUACUUUCUUAUUUUCCGUUAUUUGAUGUCCACAUCUGCCCAUGUAUCUUGGGACGUUUUUGCUUUUGUCUGUGUACUGCUCGCUUCAGUUUUAGGAAUGCUGUGCAUGUGUCUUCACCCAGCCUCAACAAAUCAGGCUUUACAACACCUUCCA